GACGAACGCUGGCGGCGUGCUUAACACAUGCAAGUCGAACGGAAAGGCCCUGCUUUUGUGGGGUGCUCGAGUGGCGAACGGGUGAGUAACACGUGAGUAACCUGCCCUUGACUUUGGGAUAACUUCAGGAAACUGGGGCUAAUACCGGAUAGGAGCUCCUGCUGCAUGGUGGGGGUUGGAAAGUUUCGGCGGUUGGGGAUGGACUCGCGGCUUAUCAGCUUGUUGGUGGGGUAGUGGCUUACCAAGGCUUUGGCGGGUAGCCGGCCUGAGAGGGUGACCGGCCACAUUGGGACUAAGAUAGGGCCCAGACUCCUACGGGAGGCAGCAGUGGGGAAUAUUGCACAAUGGUCGGAAGCGUGAUGCAGCAACGCCGCGUGCGGGAUGACGGCCUUCGGGUUGUAAACCGCUUUCGCCUGUGACGAAGCGUGAGUGACGGUAAUGGGUAAAGAAGCACCGGCUAGCUACGUG
rnacentral:rRNA from 1 species